CACUCUUAGGGGUUAACCUUUUACACUUUGCAUAUUCUCCAUACUGUUCUCUAUAGAUUUUCUGAGGUGCUAACAAGGAGAAUUUGCUUUAUAAUCAAGAGCUCUGGUACUUGUUGAUCAUUUCUGUUAUUCUUGUGACCUUAAUAUAUGAUUUAGGGAUGAUACUGUAAGGAGAAAUUAGAUGCUGGUCGCUCUUAAGGGAUUAAUGGUUUUGACAUAAAGGCUAAUCUGCUCUUUCUUUUUGUUUCCACAGUAUCACCUUCACCAAGUUCACCACAUCCGGGAGCAUCAUCACGUAAGACUGUUGAUUUUUUUUCUUCAUUUUUAAAGCCCAAAGGAAGCAAAGAGAGAAUGUGCCUCAGAACGAGAUUUUAAUGAAAGUGGAAUUGGCUCAGACAAUUUAACCUUCUCUGUGGCCUUACUUAAAGCUCUCAAGUCCUGCACAUUGAGCACGAGACCUACCCAAACACAUUCAGUCUUAAGUUGAACCAAUUAUUUCAUGCAUUUAAAGUUUCUGAUUAAGUUGUUGAUAUUGAGUGAGCCAAUUGCUGCUUUAGGGAAGUUCUCCUAAAAUUAAUUUUCCUUAUAAAUGUAUUGUACUCCUUGGUUUAUAAAGGAACUUACUCAGAAUAAAGGAGUGCAUGUCCUAACCCUUUAACUCCCAGAUCAAAUUUGUAAUUCUCCUUACUGUCAACCAUACAAUUCUUAUAAUGUUAGUUCAGAGAAUUUAGUAUUGAAUCAACUAAUUAUCCCCAAAUUGAUAUUUUUCUUAAUUCUCAUCACUUACCUGGUUGAUAUUGUAUUGAUAUUGUGAGGAGAAAUUUUGUCUUAGUCACUCAUGGGAGUUGAAGGGUUAACUACUUAAUUUUUUUCACAAUUUUUGGGCAGAGCACAGUUGGUCUUCCUGCCCAUUUCCUAAGGUUCAGCCUUCAAUUAAGUUACUAACACCAGUGUAUUUCUUUUCUUCUGUCCCCUUUUUUUAUUUUUUCAUCUCUGCAGCUGCUCCAUGUAAGUUGGAUUUCGUACUACUGUCAAACUUGUAUUUAGCUUCACUGCAUUAAGUGUUCAUCCUGUGUUAAUUGGUCAGUUUUCAAAGUACUGAGAUUUUUUCUGUUCAAUAACUGUAAUUUUCACCUUAAUAAAGUGGUUGUGGUCAAUGUGA